AAAUAAGAAACAAAUUAUUGUAUUUAGUUUCGACCUAAAAUUCUGGUGGCCACACCCUUAUUUA
rnacentral:tRNA from 1 species